UACAGAGGUCUCGAGCGUUAGGCGGAAUCACUGGGCUUAAAGCGUGUGUAGGCGGAUCGUUAAGUACCUUGUGAAAUCCCACGGCUUAACCGUGGAACUGCUUGGUAUACUGGCGGUCUUGAGCCAGCUAGGGGCUACCGGAACAAAUGGUGGAGCGGUGAAAUGCGUAGAUAUGACAUAGAACACCAAUUGCGAAGGCAGCUCACUACACAAUCAUUGACGCUGAGGCACGAAAGCGUGGGGAUCAAACAGG
rnacentral:rRNA from 1 species